rnacentral:rRNA from 1 species
UAGGGAAUAUUGCACAAUGGAGGAAACUCUGAUGCAGCGACGCCGCGUGAGCGAUGAAGGCCUUCGGGUCGUAAAGCUCUGUCGUAUGGGAAUAAGCUCUGAAUGUACCAUGCAAGAAAGGAUCGGCUAACUUCGUGCCAGCAGCCGCGGUAAGACGAGGGAUCCUAGCGUUGUUCGGAAUCAUUGGGCGUAAAGCGGGUGUAGGUGGCUAUCCAAGUCAGGUGUGAAAGCCCUGGGCUCAACCCAGGAAGUGCACUUGAUACUGUUUAGCUUGAAUGUGGGAGAGGAAAGUGGAAUACCUAGUGUAGUGGUGAAAUACGUAGAUAUUAGGUGGAACACCGGAGGCGAAGGCGGCUUUCUGGCCCAACAUUGACACUGAGACCCGAAAGCGUGGGGAUCA